CCGAGAAGAUGUCUCCGACGCCGCCGCUCUUCAGUUUGCCCGAAGCGCGGACGCGGUUUACGAAGUCUACCAGAGAGGCCUUGAACAACAAAAACAUCAAGCCAUUGUUAAGUACCUUCAGCCAGGUACCUGGCAGUGAAAAUGAAAAAAAAUGUACCCUUGACCAAGCUUUCAGAGGUAUUCUAGAAGAAGAAAUUAUAAAUCAUUCAUCAUGUGAAAACGUUUUAGCUAUUAUUUCUCUUGCUAUUGGGGGAGUAACUGAAGGUAUUUGUACCGCAUCUACACCUUUUGUAUUGUUGGGAGAUGUUUUGGAUUGUCUUCCUUUGGAUCAGUGUGACACAAUAUUCACUUUUGUGGAAAAAAAUGUUGCUACUUGGAAAUCAAAUACAUUCUAUUCUGCUGGGAAAAAUUACUUACUACGUAUGUGCAAUGAUCUCCUAAGAAGAUUGUCUAAAUCCCAGAAUACAGUCUUCUGUGGACGGAUUCAGCUCUUUUUGGCCAGGCUUUUCCCUCUGUCUGAGAAAUCAGGUCUUAACUUGCAGAGUCAGUUUAAUCUGGAAAAUGUCACUGUUUUCAAUACGAAUGAGCAGGAAAGCACCCUGGGUCAGAAGCACACUGAAGAUAGAGAAGAAGGAAUGGAUGUAGAAGAAGGCGAAAUGGGAGAUGAGGAAGCUCCAACAACGUGCUCUAUUCCAAUUGAUUACAACCUGUAUCGAAAAUUCUGGUCACUUCAGGAUUACUUCAGGAACCCUGUGCAAUGCUAUGAGAAGAUUUCAUGGAAAACUUUUCUCAAGUAUUCUGAAGAAGUUUUAGCUGUUUUUAAGAGUUAUAAAUUAGAUGAUACUCAGGCCUCAAGAAAAAAGAUGGAAGAAUUGAAAACAGGAGGAGAACAUGUAUAUUUUGCAAAAUUUUUAACAAGUGAAAAGCAAUGACGGGUAAAAUAUAAACGAGAAAACAAAAGAGACAAGGCUGGGCUUCCAGAAACAAGAUAAAUAUCUUCAUGGACCAGAAAUGCCAAGUAGUGAGCAAAACUGCAGCCUGGGCCUGCUGGACUCUCUAUCCAAGGCAGGUGGUGGUGUCCAGGAAUUUGGCUACAAGUAACAGAGACUAAAUGUGCACCAUGUGGGACAAGGGGCCAGAGCCAGAUUCACUUCUUGAAGCCAAGGACUAGGGUGGAACUUUUAUCCACUUUUGGAAAGAAACUAAGAAAAAAUAUUGCCAGUCUUCUGCCAAGGGCUAUGGUUUUAUAGGAAGUUGUGAGCCUAGGGAUAACAAAGACAGCUUUGUGUCCAUCUGCUUGCUCAGUGACCAAAUAUGUGAUAUGCUCAGUAUACUUAUGAAACAGCUGCUCCAAGAAGUCAUCAUAAGACUUCUUCUAGACUUUUGGACUCAGGGGCCCUGGUAGAAGCAGAUGCAAAACUGCUAGACAGGGAAGGAUGUACACAGAGAGGGAGGGGAAAGGAAGUAAACAAACAUCCCAAAAGAAAAGGCUCCUGUUCAAAACUCUGAUAAAUUAAAAUUCCAAAAUCCAUAAAUCUAAUGCUAAGAAGGAUCACCAGCAAAAUCAACUAUUGGGAUAUAUAUAUAUUUAUUCCAGAUGAAAUAUAUAGCCUGACCAAGACUUUAUGUAUGUUUUGGAUACUCAAAAAGAUAAUCGAUGAGAUAACAUCCAUUGAAAAGGAACAAGAAAUCAUGAAACAAAAGCAGGCUGAAAUGAAGUAGGACAGUCGAUACAACUAAUCGGAGUCUUGGAAAUGAAAAAUAACAAUAAUUGAAACCAAAACUCAGCACACAGAAUUAAACUAUACA
rnacentral:sRNA from 1 species